AGGCCCGAGUGCUGUCGCCGCCACGACCAGUGCCCGCAGAGCGCUCGACCCCAAGCUCCUCCUCCCGUGCGCUUCCUCCCUGGCCUCCCUCGCGCGUCGUCCGGCGACCGGCGCCGCCGCCGGCGACCACCCAGGUCACGCCGCCGCUCCCCUGCCUUCUAUCUUUCCUCUAUCUCUCUCUCUAAUCUCCUUGUCUCUCCUUCUCUCCAGGAGCUCAGUGCCAGCGCCAUGGAUGCCCAGUCCUCGAGCUCUCCUUGGAGGUUCGAACGCCGCCACGGGACCUUCACCGGCCAGAUCUGGCGCCUCCCUCCAGGAUCCGCGCGCCCUCCACCUCCUCGACCCGAUCCGGCGCCGCCCAACCCACCAUGACCUCCACCAUGGCUCCCGUCGAGAUCCUGUGCAUCCUCUCCGUCGACGCACCAUCGUCGCAUGAGGAGUUGGAUGCCUGGCUCGCUGACAACCUCCCCCAAAUCCUACAGGAGGUUCAGCCAGGAUAUUCAUGGGAGCCUUCGGCCGGCUGAUUGGCCUCCCCAGCCCAUGUCCAUGAGUUGACUCCAUCCGCCUCUGCCCCGAUCACCAGCCUGGACCAGGAGCAUCUUCUAUGUUGCAAGCAAAGAUUAUGAAACACCUGAACCAUCUUGCACGCGAUGGGCGUUCCGCAGCGUGUUCAGAAUAAUACUUCGCAAGGGACAGCAGCUUGACGUCGAGCAGCAGCAGCAGGUUCUGCAACUUCGACGACCCCGAUGAGUCCGCGAUCUGCUCAACUCCUACCAGAAGGGUGUGGAGGAGUUUCCCCUUGAACACCAUGACCUGAUUCUAAGGUUCAUAGUUUAGCCUUUUUUGGCUGUUGAUUACUCCUUUGGUUCUUUGUACAUGUUCUGAUUAAUGGUGCUUUGGAACUCUUGUGGUCUGGAGGUCAUUGUUCUACUGGCACUCACUUCACCUGAACGGCUGGAUCAGAUGAUAGUGGAUAUACGCAGUGUAGUAUAUUGCUAUAAGAUACAAGCCUCCCUCUUCUGCCCUUCUUUUCUCCAUCCUCUGUUGGUCGCUAGCACAUGUGAAUCAUUCUCGUCAAGAGCAUGCUUGUGACAUCAUUACUGUAUGUGAUGCAGGGCAAAAGGAUGUUGUCAUAAGUGUGACAAGUCGUGUGAGAUGAAGGUGAUGAACCAUCUCAAUGUGAAGCCAAGUAUGCCAUGGAUUUGCCAUGGAUGAUGGAAGACUGGUAAAGGUAAAAGUUUGAGCUGUCAAAUUUUGUGUGACCGAGGUCCUGGGCGGUCAAACGUAAAAAGUUCAGUGAAGAUUCAGAUUACAUAUGGAUUCCUUUUUGUUGCCUACAAUGCUAUAAUCACGCUAACUAUGCGCAUGGUGUGUACCAGAGAUGAUUCAAAAAUUGCUUGCCAAUAGGCAGCUGGAUGUCAAGGAGGACGAAGCCCGUUGUGCCAAAACUAACACAUUAGAAUCUUUCAAUUUGCCGCUACCAUAUUUCAAAGUAAGAACACCGAUGAUGCAAAGGAAUCUUAUUAUGUAGCCAUAUGUAAUCUCAAUUUGUUGCUAUGUAUAAACUAUGAUAGGAGUAGGCCUGUAUAGAUGUGUAUCCAUUUUUGUUUUCUACUGAUCUAGGACAAAGGGGAUGUGCUGGACUAAGUGGCCGUUGCUAUUGAAGCAAAGGAGUGGAACUCGCAAUUUUUCAAUCAAUGGAGGUUAUCUUUCAUAUGGAUUUUAUUAUUAGAUACUUGCAGAUGUGUGUCACUUCCUUAGAUCAUGUUUGAUUCUUAAAAUUUUAGAUGUUUCAUGUAACCAUCAAUUAUGCUACUGGCAGUCCCUAUACAUUCUUUUUUACCCGCUCUAAAAAAGUAUCUCGGUUUAUAAUCAUCAUACAUUUUAAUGUAUAAGUAAGAUUAUGAGUUGAUCCAGUGCCGAAAACAAUUCAGUUGAACAUGUUUUUUCUAGCAGUUUUAGGCAACAAUUCAUCUUCAUAUGAAGUUUGAUUCCAUGUGAAGUCUAUGAUUGAUUUUUUCUGGGAUUCUUCAGGUUUGAUUGGUGAAGCUACAUUCAGCAAAGAAGAUAUGUUUAUUUGUAGGGAAUUUUUGCAGGUACAAUCCAUCCAGCCAUACAUAAGACUGAUAUUCUCAUUCUUUAACAAUGUGUACAUGGCCUCUACUCUGUCGUGUGUUGAGAAAAGGCUCUGUCGUGCAUUGAGAAAAGGCCGGACAUAUAUUGUUGUUUGUAUAACCUUACUUUGUAAAAUAAUUUGUGGUAACAAACAUGUUAA